rnacentral:rRNA from 1 species
CUUCGGGUGGGCGUAUGUGGAAAGAGCGGCGGUUGGGUGAGUAACACGUGGACUACCUGCCUACAAGAUCGGGAUAACACCGGGGAAGCGGUGCUAAUACCGGAUGAUACUUCGUAUCACAUGAUGCGAAGAUGAAAGACGGUUUCGGCUGUGACUUGUAGAUGGGCCCGCGGCGCAUUAGCUAGUUGGUGAGAUAAUAGCUCACCAAGGCAACGAUGCGUAGCCGACCUGAGAGGGUGAUCGGCCACACUGGGACUGAGACACGGCCCAGACUCCUACGGGAGGCAGCAGUUGGGAAUCUUCCGCAAUGGACGAAAGUCUGACGGAGCAACGCCGCGUGAGUGAUGAAGGUUUUCGGAUCGUAAAACUUUGUUGUGAGGGAAGAACAAGUACGAAUUAACUACUCGUACCUUGACGGUACCUUACCAGAAAGCCACGGCUAACUACGUGCCAGCAGCCGCGGUAAUACGUAGGUGGCAAGCUGUUGU